ACUCCUACGGGAGGCAGCAGUGGGGAAUAUUGGACAAUGGGAGCAACCCUGAUCCAGCAAUGCCGCGUGAGUGAAGAAGGCCUUCGGGUUGUAAAGCUCUUUUACCAGGGAAGAUGAUGACGGUACCUGGGGAAUAAGCUCCGGCUAACUUCGUGCCAGCAGCCGCGGUAAUACGAAGGGAGCUAGCGUUGUUCGGAAUUACUGGGCGUAAAGGGCGCGUAGGCGGCUCUGUAAGUCAGAUGUGAAAGCCCCGGGCUUAACCUGGGAACUGCAUUUGAUACUGCAGAGCUAGAGAUCGAGAGAGGAAAGUGGAAUUACGAGUGUAGAAGUGAAAUUCGUAGAUAUUCGUAGGAACACCGGUGGCGAAGGCGACUUUCUGGCUCGAUACUGACGCUAAAGCGCGAAAGCGUGGGGAGCAAACAGGAUUAGAUACCCUGGUAGUC
rnacentral:rRNA from 1 species